rnacentral:sRNA from 1 species
AUGGAGAUGCACGUCAAAGUGACGGUCUAUGUCUCUCUAUUCGUGGUAUGGUCUUUCAAUGAAUAUGCAUGCUUCGAAAAUUUAGCGCUGGGAAAGGUGGCAAACCAAUCUUCGUUCUAUUCCAAUUCGUGGGAUGCUGCAAGAGCUGUUGAUGGAGACACACGACAGGAAUUAUUUUCAUCGUCCUCAUGUGCUAAAACUGGUGUAGGUCAGAAAACUGCUUCAUGGUAUGUAGAUCUCGGAAAGAUCAUGAGUAUACAUCAUGUGGAUAUUUACUACAGGAAGGAAAGCGACAGCGCGUAUGAAUCUACGUACAGGAAAUUCUUUGCUGGAUUUUCGCUAUAUAUUUCUAACAGUACCAACCCAAACAAUGAAUCUCUUUGCUAUCAUCGACUUCAGAACGGCACAAACUCUCCUCCCUCGGUCAUGUCUAUUCAGUGCGAGAUGGAUGCCAGGGGAUUUCUCAGUAUGGAGAAUAUUGUUUGUCUUGUCCCUCAACAUGUCCAGAUGCUCGCUGCAACAUGUCCACUGGGAGUUGUUUUUACUGCUUAG